rnacentral:rRNA from 1 species
AGAACGAACGCUGGCGGCAUGCCUAAUACAUGCAAGUCGAACGAACACUUCGGCGUUAGUGGCGCACGGGUGCGUAACGCGUGGGAAUCUGCCCUUGGGUUCGGAAUAACAGUUGGAAACGACUGCUAAUACCGGAUGAUGACGAAAGUCCAAAGAUUUAUCGCCCAGGGAUGAGCCCGCGUAGGAUUAGCUAGUUGGUGAGGUAAAGGCUCACCAAGGCGACGAUCCUUAGCUGGUCUGAGAGGAUGAUCAGCCACACUGGGACUGAGACACGGCCCAGACUCCGUACGGGAGGCAGCAGUAGGGAAUAUGGACAAUGGGCGCAAGCCUGAUCCAGCAAGUGCCGCGUGAGUGAUGAAGGCCUUAGGGUUGUAAAGCUUACGUUUACCGAGUA